GAGACUCACUUUGGUGGCACAAACACUAAAGUCAAAAGAAUACAGAAGAGAUUAACAUGGUCCCUGCUCAAGUAUGACAUACAAAUUUGUAAAAUGUCCACAUUUUUU
ensembl:snRNA U6 U6 spliceosomal RNA